rnacentral:rRNA from 1 species
GACGGCAAGUCCCCCUGACCGGGGCCUAUCCAGAGCGGGUGCGAGGCCCAUAGCCGUCUGGGGCGUCUCGGAUGCGAUCUCCCCGGAGUCGGGUUGCUUGGGAGUGCAGCCCUAAGUGGGAGGUAAACUCCUCCUAAGGCUAAAUACCGCCGUGAGACCGAUAGCAAACAAGUACCGUGAGGGAAAGUUGCAAAGAACUUUGAAGAGAGAGUUCAAGAGUACGUGAAACUGCUCAGAGGUAAACGGGUGGGCCCUCGAAAUCCUGUGGCGAGAGGAUUCAGUGUGGAGGCCCGGAGGCGCGUGGUCGGAAGUCCAGCAGGGCAUCCCGGAUUCGGGGCCGUCCGACCGCGCCGUUUCGGUGUCCCCCGACGCAUUUGACUCUCGCCCGAAGGACGCAGCAACCGGUCGGGCCCAGAAAGCACGACGUCCUGAAGGUCGGGGAACGGCAGGUGGCCGGCGGAGUGGCCGUCACGGCGCUCUGUCGGUUGUUAGCCGCCCCGUCAGUGGACCGUCGCCCGACCGAGGUGUCACUAUGCCCCACCAUGGGGCUUCUCCGUCUCCUCCCACCAGGGAAGAGGGGGACAGAUCGCCGCUGGCGCCGGACGCUAGGGGCCGCACCCAGCAUGGGUGGGCCACCGGGCAGAACCGGUGUCGCAGGCGGCGACGGACCCCCCGGAGUACCGGAGGCUAGCUGCGAGUAGGUCGGUCACCCACCCGGCCCGUCUUGAAACACGGACCAAGGAGUCUAACAUGUGCGCGAGUCAUUGGGUCUUGAAUAGGCCCAGAGGCGCAAUGAAAGCAAAGGCCGGCAGCACGCCGGUCGAGUUGGGAUCUCCCGUACUAUGAUGCGGGGGCGCACCGACGACCCGUCCCGUCCGGCUCGCCGGUGGGGCGGAGUGUGAGCGCACACGUUGGGACCCGAAAGAUGGUGAACUAUGCCCGGACAGGACGACGCCAGAGGAAACUCUGGUGGAGGUCCGCAGCG